UAAGCGGAGGAAAAGAAACUAACAAGGAUUCCCCUAGUAACGGCGAGCGAAGCGGGAAGAGCUCAAAUUUGAAAGCUGGCACCUCCGGUGUCCGCGUUGUAAUCUCGAGACGUGUUUUCCGUGCGGCUCUAUGGACAAGUCCCUUGGAAUAGGGCAUCGUAGAGGGUGAGAAUCCCGUACUUGCCAUGGAAGAACCGUGCUUUGCGAUACACGCUCUAAGAGUCGAGUUGUUUGGGAUUGCAGCUCAAAAUGGGUGGUAGACUCCAUCUAAAGCUAAAUAUCGGGGAGAGACCGAUAGCGAACAAGUACCGUGAGGGAAAGAUGAAAAGCACUUUGGAAAGAGAGUUAAAAGUACGUGAAAUUGUCGAAAGGGAAGCACUUGAAGUCAGCCAUGCUGCUUGAGACUCAGCCUGGCCUUUGGGCUUGGUGUAUUUCUCGGUGGCAAGCCAGCAUUGGUUUGGGUCGUCGGAGAAGCGCAUAGGGAAUGUAGCGUCUCCGGACGUGUUAUAGCCUUAUGCAGGAUACGACGACCUGGAUCAAGGAACGCAGUGUGCCCUCUGGGCGGGUCUUCGGACACCUUCACACUUAGGAUGCUGGCGUAAUGGCUUUAAGUGGCCCGUCUUGA
rnacentral:rRNA from 1 species